rnacentral:rRNA from 1 species
CCUACGGGGGGCUGCAGUUUCGAAUCAUUCACAAUGGGCGAAAGCCUGAUGGUGCGACGCCGCGUGAGGGAUGAAGGCCUUCGGGUUGUAAACCUCUGUCACCGGGGAAGAAACGCUGCAUUUCAAUAGAAUGCAGCCUGACUUAACCCGGAGAGGAAGCAGUGGCUAACUCUGUGCCAGCAGCCGCGGUAAUACAGAGACUGCAAGCGUUAUUCGGAUUCACUGGGCGUAAAGGGUGCGCAGGCGGCCAUGUGUGUGAGGCGUGAAAGCCCGAU